AUAAGACGCAAUAAAAAGCACAGAACCAGCCUUAGCACCAGUCGAAACAGGCAUCAAGAAAGCCGUGCACGUGCAGCAGAUGAGACUUUGUGGAAAAAUGAGUGGAGCAGUGAGACGUGGUUCUCCAGUGGAAGUCAUGGAUCAGCAGGAGCAGCCAUCUUAAAAGCUCCAUUUAAAGGGAUCAGCAUGAAUAAAGCCUUUCAUGAAGCGGAGCAUGGCUGAAUUUCUCCCGUGUGUAACACAUGGAGUUCAAAGCUUCACACACCUGGAAACAGCAGCAGGGUUAUGUCACUGCUGCAGGUUUGUGAUGAAGUGGAGCGAAAACAUCCAGCUUUGGGAAAGAAGUGACAAAGAUUUGACUGCGUCUGCAAAAAGUGCUUCACCUGCCUCCAGAGAAAUCUCUGCCAUACCAGCUGUACCUGGAGGCCAGAGAGGAGGCUCUCGUUGAAGAGUUACCAGGAGUUAACAGGUAUUGACUCUUUAUAUUUCUCCCAUACGUCUAUAAGGAGAACAUGAACCUUUUUAUCCCUCUUGGAGACUCUGAUGCAGACAUGUGGUGUUUAACUGAACCAAACACACACAACAAACGUGACCUUCCAUCUCCACACACAACUAUUCUCCUGACUGGUCAAGACUGGAAAAUGGCCUUCUUCACCAAAAGAGCUCCAAACGUUGUGAAAGCAGACGAUGUUGAGGAAGGGAUCAUCUCUGCCUUCUGCACUGACUUUGUCUUCAAGCUGGCAAACCCGAGACACCUGAAGACACACUGACGUUCCUCCAGAGGUGCAUGGUGGUGACCAACCUCUGCCAAGAACUGUUAACAGGACCAUAAAUCUUCUUUAUUCACUCCAUUAUGCCGCAUACCUAGCAGUGCUUCUAAUGCUCCAGGAGAGAAUCUACCUUAAAUGAAUUCAGCACAAAGGACUUUAUAGAAUUUAUUAUUAUUGUUUUAUGGUAUAAAGUUAGAGGAAGAAAAACUGUAGAACAGAUGAUGAUGUUUGUUGUGAUUUCAUCUUUCAUUCUGUUGCAUGUUUGUGUGUGAAUGACGCCUAACAAAGCUUCUUUAUUUUCAUCACUGGCUGAAAUAAAUUAAACUAAUGACAAUAAAACCACCAAUAGAUGGAGGCCUGAGAAACGUAGGAAAGACCAGAACUGUUAGUUCCACAUGUGUCUGAUCAUCCAGUGUGUAACAGCAACGAGCAACGCAAAGCAACAUGUUUAGUUUUUUCUAGAAGUUUCUUUGUAACAUGCUCCAUCAUACAAGUACAACAUGCAUGUAAGCUGAGCCCCGUCCAGACUGUGAAGUAUAAGUGUAAGAAUAGUAGAACACACACACUUUCUGCUGCUGUUUUCAUGGUUUUCAGUGUGUCUUUCUGCAGGUGCUCCUGAUGAUUGUCUGCUGUGUUUUCAUAUAGAGGCCGUAGGAUGUUUUCUGUUUUUCUACCGGUGUUGCAGCUGCUUGUUCUAUUGUUUCUGUUGUUUCUAUCUUUGUCCUCUCUCCACUUUUUACUCUCCUUUUCUCUUCUGUUUAAUUCAAUCCAGCUUUAUUUGUACAGCAGCUCUUUACAACAAAGUCCUCUCAGGGCUCCUU